rnacentral:rRNA from 1 species
UACAGAGGGUGCGAGCGUUAAUCGGAAUUACUGGGCGUAAAGGGCGUGUAGGCGGUCAGGUAAGUGGGAUGUGAAAUGCCCCGGCUCACCCGGGGACCGGCAUCCCAUACUGCUUGGCUUGAGUACGGGAGAGGAUGUGGGAAUUCCUGGUGUAGCGGUGAAAUGCGUAGAUAUCAGGAGGAACACCGGUGGCGAAGGCGCACAUCUGGCCCGAUACUGACGCUGAGGCGCGAAAGCUAGGGGAGCAAACGGG